UACAGAGGUCUCAAGCGUUGUUCGGAUUCAUUGGGCGUAAAGGGUGCGCAGGCGGCCGUGUGUGUCAGGUGUGAAAGCCCGGAGCUUAACUCCGGAAUUGCGCCUGAAACUACAUGGCUAGAGCAUUGGAGAGGGUAGCGGAAUUCACGGUGUAGCAGUGAAAUGCGUAGAUAUCGUGAGGAACACCAGAGGCGAAGGCGGCUACCUGGACAAUUGCUGACGCUCAGGCACGAAAGCGUGGGGAGCAAAAGGG
rnacentral:rRNA from 1 species